UUUAAAAUAAACGAUGUAACGAGAUCGAUACGGUUUUUGAAUGGAGAAUGGGAAUAUUGAGUCCCUUGAAUCCUCUCAAUUCAAUUGCAUCAGUUCCUGACUCGAAUUUCGAAGGUAUCUCGAGUCAUAUCUCUCUAGAGGAAUAGAAAGGGACCAGAGUACGCUUCUAGGUAUUUCUCAGGAUAGAUCCUCCACAUGAAAAGCCGUACUUUCAGUGUUUCUGCAACAACAGGAGUGAGACCCGAAGGGUCGUGUCGGUGUUUCUACUUCCGUCACUACGACGACUGCCUUGUAUUCACCGAUCCUUGGUGGACAAAGCUGCUUCGUAGACCAAGAGAACCUGGGGAUUUCACGCUAACCAAAAUUCAAGCUAAAUAUUCUCAUCUUGUGGAGAGACUAUUGUCACUUUAAUUUAAAUUUGUCCCUUAAUUUCCUACCUCAAUCUCGCUAACCUUACCUUCUACAUUUAAUCUCAACAAAUAGCAGUGUAUCUUCAGGAUAACAAUUUAACUAUAGUAUAUUAUGCACCAAGGGGAAGAAGUGAGACUUUUUCAAAGA